AGAGUUUGAUCCUGGCUCAGGAUGAACGCUGGCGGCGUGCCUAAUACAUGCAAGUCGAGCGAACGGACGAGAAGCUUGCUUCUCUGAUGUUAGCGGCGGACGGGUGAGUAACACGUGGAUAACCUACCUAUAAGACUGGGAUAACUUCGGGAAACCGGAGCUAAUACCGGAUAAUAUUUUGAACCGCAUGGUUCAAAAGUGAAAGACGGUCUUGCUGUCACUUAUAGAUGGAUCCGCGCUGCAUUAGCUAGUUGGUAAGGUAACGGCUUACCAAGGCAACGAUGCAUAGCCGACCUGAGAGGGUGAUCGGCCACACUGGAACUGAGACACGGUCCAGACUCCUACGGGAGGCAGCAGUAGGGAAUCUUCCGCAAUGGGCGAAAGCCUGACGGAGCAACGCCGCGUGAGUGAUGAAGGUCUUCGGAUCGUAAAACUCUGUUAUUAGGGAAGAACAUAUGUGUAAGUAACUGUGCACAUCUUGACGGUACCUAAUCAGAAAGCCACGGCUAACUACGUGCCAGCAGCCGCGGUAAUACGUAGGUGGCAAGCGUUAUCCGGAAUUAUUGGGCGUAAAGCGCGCGUAGGCGGUUUUUUAAGUCUGAUGUGAAAGCCCACGGCUCAACCGUGGAGGGUCAUUGGAAACUGGAAAACUUGAGUGCAGAAGAGGAAAGUGGAAUUCCAUGUGUAGCGGUGAAAUGCGCAGAGAUAUGGAGGAACACCAGUGGCGAAGGCGACUUUCUGGUCUGUAACUGACGCUGAUGUGCGAAAGCGUGGGGAUCAAACAGGAUUAGAUACCCUGGUAGUCCACGCCGUAAACGAUGAGUGCUAAGUGUUAGGGGGUUUCCGCCCCUUAGUGCUGCAGCUAACGCAUUAAGCACUCCGCCUGGGGAGUACGACCGCAAGGUUGAAACUCAAAGGAAUUGACGGGGACCCGCACAAGCGGUGGAGCAUGUGGUUUAAUUCGAAGCAACGCGAAGAACCUUACCAAAUCUUGACAUCCUUUGACAACUCUAGAGAUACUUCCCCUUCGGGGGACAAAGUGACAGGUGGUGCAUGGUUGUCGUCAGCUCGUGUCGUGAGAUGUUGGGUUAAGUCCCGCAACGAGCGCAACCCUUAAGCUUAGUUGCCAUCAUUAAGUUGGGCACUCUAAGUUGACUGCCGGUGACAAACCGGAGGAAGGUGGGGAUGACGUCAAAUCAUCAUGCCCCUUAUGAUUUGGGCUACACACGUGCUACAAUGGACAAUACAAAGGGCAGCGAAACCGCGAGGUCAAGCAAAUCCCAUAAAGUUGUUCUCAGUUCGGAUUGUAGUCUGCAACUCGACUACAUGAAGCUGGAAUCGCUAGUAAUCGUAGAUCAGCAUGCUACGGUGAAUACGUUCCCGGGUCUUGUACACACCGCCCGUCACACCACGAGAGUUUGUAACACCCGAAGCCGGUGGAGUAACCUUUUAGGAGCUAGCCGUCGAAGGUGGGACAAAUGAUUGGGGUGAAGUCGUAACAAGGUAGCCGUAUCGGAAGGUGCGGCUG
rnacentral:rRNA from 1 species